rnacentral:rRNA from 1 species
GACGAACGCUGGCGGCGUGCCUAAUACAUGCAAGUAGAACGCUGAUGGAGGAGCUUGCUUCUCUGGAUGAGUUGCGAACGGGUGAGUAACGCGUAGGUAACCUGCCUGGUAGCGGGGGAUAACUAUUGGAAACGAUAGCUAAUACCGCAUAAUAGUAGAUGUUGCAUGACAUUUGCUUAAAAGGUGCAAUUGCAUCACUACCAGAUGGACCUGCGUUGUAUUAGCUAGUUGGUGGGGUAACGGCUCACCAAGGCGACGAUACAUAGCCGACCUGAGAGGGUGAUCGGCCACACUGGGACUGAGACACGGCCCAGACUCCUACGGGAGGCAGCAGUAGGGAAUCUUCGGCAAUGGACGGAAGUCUGACCGAGCAACGCCGCGUGAGUGAAGAAGGUUUUCGGAUCGUAAAGCUCUGUUGUAAGAGAAGAACGAGUGUGAGAGUGGAAAGUUCACACUGUGACGGUAUCUUACCAGAAAGGGACGGCUAACUACGUG